rnacentral:ribozyme from 1 species
UGAAUGAAGGGAAGCAACAAAGUAGUGACAAGUAGAAAAAAAGUUAGGGCAAGCCUUAAUUUUUUGCUUCUUUCUAAUAGUGUUUGCCUUUCUACUAUUUUC